AGAGGGUGCGAGCGUUAAUCGGAGUUACUGGGGCGUAAAGGGCGCGUAGGCGGUUAUUUAAGUCAGUUGUGAAAUCCCAGGGGCUCAACCUUGGGAACUGCAAUUGAUACUGUGUAACUAGAGUCGAAGAGAGGGAAGCGGAAUUUCCGGUGUAGCGGUGAAAUGCGUAGAUAUCGGAAGGAACACCUGUGGCGAAGGCGGCUUCCUGGCUUCAGACUGACGCUGAGGCGCGAAAGCGUGGGGAGCGAACAGGAUUAGAUACCCUGGUAGUCCACGCUGUAAACGAUGAGUACUAGCUGUUGGUGGGCAUUGUUCCAUCAGUAGCGCAGCUAACGCACUAAGUACUCCGCCUGGGGAUUACGGCCGCAAAGGCUAA
rnacentral:rRNA from 1 species